AAAAAUCUCUCUAGUCCCCAGUAAUGGAGGAUAUAUAUUAAGGAGAGUUGAAACCAGUCAAUGUACAUGGAGAGAAGAUGCCUACGGAGGUUAACUUUCAAGGCAAAUAUUGAUUUUUGUCACGUUGAGGAUCAGCUAAACUCUUGAAGAUCGACUGCAAGGGAAUGUGGACAGAUUAGGAGGGGGAUAAUCCCCCUUAAUCUCCCUGACAGCAGUCAUAAUCUGGACAUUCAUUUAGAAGGACAUGUAGGGGACUUCUUCUGACUCCCAGAGAUUUCCGAACAUGGACAGGAAGGGACCCCCAUCACAAGGUCAUCUACUCUAACCCUGACUCUUUAGGAUGACAUCUAAGAUGCUUUGUUAUAAAGUUCCAUACGUGUCCAACAUCUCCCAGGCUGAAUGGUCAUCUAUUCCUGUGGACAAGAAGAAAAUUAUUAAUUUAAAUAAACCAUAAAAAGUAUGUAUAAAGCUGUGUGGUUAGCAUUUUAUCAAUAUGAGAUAUUAACAUAAAGAUAUUAAAUAGAUUUCCGACAGUAAUUUGAUAAGAACAAAAUAUGUACCUGUUUGUGCUGUGGCAAAUCCUUCGUUAUCUUCCUCAGGCAUCUCCCCCGCACCAAAUUCAUGGACCAUCUCCAGACUCUGAGCCAUCUGAGUGGGUGCUUCCAAUGCAUUCUGUGCCAUGUGAUUGGUCACUUUUUCAUCAUUCGGUGCAGCAGUCUUAUUGGUUGUCUCAAUUACUUCAUCUAAACUAGUCAUUGAGGGGUGGGGAGGACAUUAAUUUAUUCCUCGACUGGAAAGGAUUGAUGGCGUUGUCUGUGGUCGGUGGAGAGGAUCCCAGUUUUGUGUUGGACUGGAAUGGGUUCAUGUCCUCCAAAUUGUCAAAAUCAAUGUUGUAGGCUCCUCGGGAACCAGGGAGAGGAAGUUCAUCCUCCAUGAUUAUUUGAUCAAUAUGAGUUGGGCCUAAGGAAAUGAAGUUUUAUUGACAACUUUCUAACCUCCUACUUUGAAGAGCAGCAAAGAAAGAUAACUCUGAAAAAGAUAUUGCAUUGCCUGACUGUUAUCAUUGCAUGUCCUCAGAAAAAUACUGCACUUAAUUUAAAAAUAAAGAGAUACU
rnacentral:sRNA from 1 species